GUAAGUUUGUGCUUUGGGUCAUCACAAGAAUUUUUUGUAUCAACUUACUCUUUGAGCGAUGGAACGAAGUUCUGUUUAUACCGAAGUUUUGUUUUCCAAUAUAACCACCAAGUAGCAGCCGAUUUAUGAAGUAAGUUUGUUGUUAUUUUUUCAACAAGCUAUAGAAAACUUAACAAACAAGCAAGACUCAUUUUUUCUUUCAAAUUUUUUAUCGAAGCAUUAAGCAAAUCUGUAACGUCUCUAAGUUCAAGGUUUAUUCGAUUAAUGAUAUGUACCGUUAAAAAAGUAUUACACUCCUGAUCUUUCUCAUGAAAA